GCAAGUAUGGUAAGGGCGGACGGUGGAUCCCUAGGCAGCCGGAGGCGAUGAAGGGCGUGGCCAGCUGCGAUAAGCCCCGGGGAGCCGCUGAGCAGGCGAUGAUCCGGGGAUUCCCGAAUGGGGAAACCCACCGUGCCGUUGAGGCACGGUAUCCAGGGCCGAAAUCCGAGUAAGCCCUGGAGGCGAACCCCGCGAAGUGAAACAUCUCAGUAGCGGGAGGAAAAGAAAUCAACCGAGAUUCCCCUAGUAGCGGCGAGCGAACGGGGAAGAGCCCAAACCUCACGGGCGCAAAAGCCCGCAGGCGUUGUCCGUGGGGGGUAGUGGGACGGCAACGGGGAGGGCUGCGGACCUCCCAGGAAGUUACAAAAGCCUCCUCUAGCCGAACAGCCGGCAAAGUCACUGGAAAGGGCGACCGGAGAGGGUGAUAGUCCCGUAGGCGAAAGGGGAGGCUCUUCCGGGUUGCCGCUCCCAAGUAGCGUCGGACACGGGGAAUCCGGCGCGAAUCUGGGGGGACCACCCUCCAAGGCUAAAUACUCCCGGCUGACCGAUAGUGGACCAGUACCGUGAGGGAAAGGUGAAAAGAACCCCGGGAGGGGAGUGAAAUAGAACGUGAAACCGUCCGCUCACAGUGCAGUGGUAGCCGGGAACUGCCCCCGCAAGGGGGUGGAACCCGGUGGCCGCGUGCCUUUUGCAGUAUGAGCCGGCGAGUCGUGCUCGGUGGCGAGGCUAAGCGGUUCUUCCGCGGAGCCGUAGGGAAACCGAGUCCGAAUAGGGCGACUAGUCACCGGGCGCGGACCCGAAGCCAGGCGAUCUACCCAUGGGCAGGGUGAAGUGCGCGUAACAGCGCACGGAGGCCCGAACCGGUUGGUCGUGCAAAGCCAUCGGAUGACCUGUGGGUAGGGGUGAAAGGCCAAUCGCGCCUGGGAAUAUCUGGCUCUCCCCGAAAUGGCUUUCGGGUCAGCCUCACGUGCAGGCGGCCGGGGGUAGAGCACUGGCUGGGGAAGGGGGGCGAACUCCCGACCCCAAUCAAACUCCGAAUACCGGCCGUCGGUCCGUGGGAGUGAGUCCAUGGGGGAUAACCUCCGUGGACNAGAGGGAAACAACCCAGACCACCAGCUAAGGCCCCAAAAUCCGGGCUAAGUGGGGAAGGCGGUGCAGCCGCCCAGACAGCGGGGAGGUUGGCUUAGAAGCAGCCAUCCUUUAAAGAGUGCGUAACAGCUCACCCGUCAAGCGGCUGCGCGCCGAAAAUGUACCGGGGCUAAGCCCGGUGCCGAAGCUGUGGGCGGGACCGCAAGGUCCUGCGGUAGGGGAGCAUUCCGCACUAGGGUGAAGCCGGGUCGUGAGGCCCGGUGGACGAGGCGGAAGGGAGAAUGCCGGCAUGAGUAGCGAGAGGCGGGUGAGAAUCCCGCCCACCGAAUGCCCAAGGUUUCCUGGGGAAGGCUGAUCCGCCCAGGGUUAGGCGGGACCUAAGCCGAAGCCGAAAGGCGUAGGUGAUGGGCAGCCGGUCAACAUUCCGGCCCCUCCGGGCCCGCGUUAUGAGCGAAGGGGGGACGCCGUUGGACCCUCCCCGCGGGCUUACGGCUAUGCCCGUCUAAGCGUCAAGCCAGAGGGGAUAGGUAAAUCCGUCUCCUCGAAACCGCUCUGUCCCGUCCGCUGAGGACGGGGCGGGGCGAAAAGGCGAGGCGCGAUGGCGAGCCCCGUAAGGGGUGAAGGGGGAACGGUUCAGCGGCCGAGAAAAGCCUCUAGCCAGCUGGCCCGGAGCCCGUACCGCAAACCGACACUGGUGGGCAGGGGGAGUACCCCAAGGUGGGCGAGCUAACCCCGGUCAAGGAACUCGGCAAAAUGGCCCCGUAACUUCGGGAGAAGGGGUGCCCUUGGGGUUGUCGGGGAUGACUCGAUGGCCCUGGGGGCCGCAGAGAAUCGGCUGGGGCGACUGUUUACCAAAAACACAGGUCCCUGCUAACCCGUAAGGGGAUGUAUAGGGGCUGAAACCUGGCCACUGCCGGUAGGUUAAGGGGAGGGGUGCAAGCCCCGAACUGAAGCCCCGGUGAAGGCCGGCCGUAACUAUAACGGUAGGAGCAGGGACGCAGGUCCCUGCGAGGGCCGUUGUAAAAUCCGGCUAUAUGCUGGGACAGCCCGGGUAUCCCAGCCUACCGAGGAGGUGACAAAGGCUUGGGUGGGGCCAAUCAGCAGGAAAGGCUCUCCAAAGCCGAGGCCGCUCGGUGGUUCUUGGCCGGAUUCAUCGAGGGCGAGGGAAGCUUCACCGUAUCCAUCAAGGAACAUCCCACGGCAAAGUUCGGCGUCUACGUGGAUCCCGAAUUCUACAUCUACCAGCACAAAAGCGGGCGGAAGCUCCUGGAGAUGGCGCGGGAAAUUUUCGGCACGGGGAGGAUUUACCCCAAGCCGGGAAAUCCCGAGGUUUUGGUUUUGCCAUCACCAGUCGCCGAAGCCUGCGGGAAAAGGUGCUGCCCUUCAUCGAAAAAUACAUGGUGUAUUCCGCAAAGAAAGAACACCUCGCGAUCUUCAAGGAGAUCGUUCUCGCUCUCGAGGCUAAGGAGCACCAUUCCCCUGAGGGCCUGGCGCGCAUCGUCGAGAAGGCGUAUGCGCUGAAUCCGGCCGGAAGGGGAAGGAGAGGAAACGUCCUCUCCCCGAGGUUUUGGAGAGAAUCCUCAGAGGCCAUACGCCGGACUCCGGGGAAGACCCGGAGAAGAGAUGGUCCAGGCCUCGUGGCGACACGAGGGAACCUGCCUAAGGUAGCGCAAUUCCUUGUCGGGUAAGUUCCGACGCGCAUGAAAGGAACAACGACUCCAGCGCUGUCUUGACCGGGGGCUCGGUGAACUCGAAGCACGGGUGAAGAUGCCCGUGACCCGCGGUGGGACAGAAAGACCCCGUGGAGCUUUACUGCAGCUUGGCGUUUGGGUCCUGACAUCCACUGUAGAGGAUAGGUGGGAGGCUGAGAAGC
rnacentral:rRNA from 1 species